UCGAUAUUUAUAUUUCAUAUGUUUACAAAAGUAAAUUUACUACAAUGACUCCACUCAACGAAAAUAGAUGAAAGAGAGGAUACCGUCGUUGGAAAGAGACCUAACCUGUAAAAAGUUGGUUGGAAAUUGGAAAGAGACGAUACCGUCUGUUGACUUGCACGACAGAAACAAGAUUAGACAAAGUACUUAUUAUGGUGAAUAUAAUAUAAAUAAUAGGGUAAAGGGUAAAAUUGAAAUAUAGAAUAAUAAGUGUGGGCAUAAUUGGAAAGGAAAAUACGAAACAAUCCCACCACGCGGAUUUGGUUGUUUCAUAAAAUGGAGUUUUUCAUUGUUUCGGAACAAUGGAUUAAACAAUACGAUACAAUCAGUUUUAUAUAAACAAUCAAAACAAACAUUGUAUGUGAGGUAACAAUACAAUACAAUACAACCGGAAACAACCAUCCAAACACAGUGUUAAACUCACAUUCUUGUCAAACUAAUAGGAGUAUAAUACAAAUUAUGCACCAUUAUCUAUAAUCUAUAAAAUUCUAAAGGGUUCCACAUCAAAAGAAAACUAUGUUCUAAGUAUUUGCUCCGAGAAUUUCAGAUGUCGUCACCAGAUGAUCUUCUGCAGUCAAGGAUGAAGUACUUUCACUCUUUGCAUCAAGGUUGAAUACUUAAUCUUCUUGCAUUGAAUAGAUUGAAAUGCACCCUAUAAAUUUAAAAGAAAUAAUAAUUAACACAAAAGAAUUAGUGAACCAAAAAGCGCAUUAAUACAAGAAUUUUUAGUAUACAAUAAGAGGGGAAAACUCAAAGCAACAAGAUAAGAAAAUAAACCUGUAUACUUUUUAAAAAACUUUUGAAAGAAUUCUCAUCUCAUUUUUGUAAUGUCUUUUCGACGAACUGCGGCUCCUCCCAAUAUUACAUUUUAAUCUUCAAAGUACCACUCAAUACCUAUCACAAUACGACAAAAUAUCUAUCAAAUUAUUAUAAUAUAAAUCCCAAAUUUUAAAUCAAAUAGGUGUAUUGGGAUCUAAAAAUCCUAAGAUAUAUAUACAUAAAUAUACCUGAAAAAAGAGAAGCCAUCGGGCUAUUUAGCCAGUGAUUCCGCUGGUUUGCUCUCUUCAUGUGAAGAGAGUCACUGUUGAAGAAGGAAAUGGAAAAGGGGGGAUGGGGUUGGCGGCAGGGUAGGGAAACAUAUAAAGUGAGAAUGUUAUUAGGUUUGUGAAUUUUGGUUUGGGC
rnacentral:lncRNA from 1 species